rnacentral:rRNA from 1 species
GAGUUUGAUCUUGGCUCAGAACGAACGCUGGCGGCAUGCCUAACACAUGCAAGUCGAACGAGACCUUCGGGUCUAGUGGCGCACGGGUGCGUAACGCGUGGGAAUCUGCCCUUGGGUUCGGAAUAACAGUUAGAAAUGACUGCUAAUACCGGAUGAUGUCUUCGGACCAAAGAUUUAUCGCCCAGGGAUGAGCCCGCGUCGGAUUAGCUAGUUGUAGGUAAAGCCUACAAGGCGACGAUCCAUAACUGGUCUGAGAGGAUGAUCAGUCACACCGGAACUGAGACACGGUCCGGACUCCUACGGGA